AUUGAACGCUGGCGGCAGGCCUAACACAUGCAAGUCGAACGAGAGGCGGACGGGUGAGUAAGGUCUGGGAAACUGCCCGAUGGAGGGGGAUAACUACUGGAAAAGGUAGCUAAUACCGCAUACCAUCGGAUGUGCCCAGAUGGGAGUAGCUAGUAGGUGGGGGAAAGGCUCACCUAGUCGACGAUCCCUAGCUGGUCUGAGAGGAUGACCGGCCACACUGGAACUGAGCCACGGUCCAGACUCCUACGGGAGGCAGCAGUGGGGAAUAUUGCACAAUGGGCGCAAGCCUGAUGGAGCCAUGCCGCGUGUAUGAAGAAGGCCUUCGGGUUGUAAAGUACUUUUAGCGAGGAGGCGUUACUCGCAGAAGAAGCACCGGCUAACUCCGUGCCAGCAGCCGCGGUAAUAC
rnacentral:rRNA from 1 species